AGCAGCCGCGGUAAUUCCAGCUCCAAUAGCGUAUAUUAAAGUUGUUGCAGUUAAAAAGCUCGUAGUUGAAUUUCGGGAUCAAUUAGUCGGUCGUGCCUCUGGUACGUACUGGUUUUAUUGGUUCCUCCCUUCUGACGAAACAUGAUGUCAUUAAUUUGGUGUCGUGGAGAAUCAGGACUGUUACCUUGAAAAAAUUAGAGUGUUUAUAGCAGGCUAACGCUUGAAUACAUUAGCAUGGAAUAAUGAAAUAGGACGUUCGACCCUAUUUUGUUGGUUUCUAGGAUCGACGUAAUGAUUAAUAGGGAUAGUUGGGGGCAUUAGUAUUCAAUUGUCAGAGGUGAAAUUCUUGGAUUUAUUGAAGACUAACUACUGCGAAAGCAUUUGCCAAGGAUGUUUUCAUUAAUCAAGAACGAAAGUUAGGGGAUCGAAGACGAUCAGAUACCGUCGUAGUCUUAACCAUAAACUAUGCCGACUAGGGAUCGGAUGAUGUUAAUUUUUUGAANGACUCAUUCGGCGCCUU
rnacentral:misc_RNA from 1 species